GCAAUCAUCGCGUUUCCCUUCCCCCCACUAGUCCCCAAAAUUAGCCCCUCCAUUCUCUCUCAAAAACAACUCCGCCUCUCUACCUCUCCAAGAAUCAAAAACCAGAUCUAACCUCUCUCUUCCUCUGUGGAUCUUUCUUUUCUUCUUUCUUUCAACAAUGGCGGUAGCACCUACGUCUCGAGAAGAGAACGUCUACAUGGCCAAGCUCGCUGAGCAGGCCGAGCGUUACGAGGAGAUGGUAGAGUUUAUGGAAAAGGUCUCCGCCUCAGUUGAGAACGAAGAGCUCUCUGUCGAGGAGCGAAACCUCCUCUCCGUCGCCUACAAGAACGUGAUCGGAGCUCGACGUGCCUCGUGGCGUAUUAUCUCCUCUAUCGAGCAGAAAGAGGAGAGCCGCGGUAACGAAGACCAUG
rnacentral:lncRNA from 1 species